rnacentral:rRNA from 1 species
AACGAACGCUGGCGGCAGGCUUAACACAUGCAAGUCGAGCGCACUCUUUUAGAGUGAGCGGCAGACGGGUGAGUAACACGUGGACAACCUGCCUCAAGGCUGGGGAUAACAUUUGGAAACAGAUGCUAAUACCGAAUAAAACUUAGUGUCGCAUGACACAAAGUUAAAAGGCGCUUCGGCGUCACCUAGAGAUGGAUCCGCGGUGCAUUAGUUAGUUGGUGGGGUAAAAGCCUACCAAGACAAUGAUGCAUAGCCGAGUUGAGAGACUGAUCGGCCACAUUGGGACUGAGACACGGCCCAAACUCCUACGGGAGGCUGCAGUAGGGAAUCUUCCACAAUGGGCGAAAGCCUGAUGGAGCAACGCCGCGUGUGUGAUGAAGGCUUUCGGGUCGUAAAGCACUGUUGUAUGGGAAGAACAGCUAGAAUAGGAAAUGAUUUUAGUUUGACGGUACCAUACCAGAAAGGGACGGCUAAAUACGUGCCAGCAGCCGCCGUAACAC